CCUAGCCGCACCUCAUUGCAAAUCGGUGCCUGGCAUCUCCAUCCCCUCUUUCCCCCGCCUCCUUCUUCCACCUCCGGCCGCCGCCGCGGCCAGGCCGGCGUGGCGGCGCGCCACCCAGCACCUCCACCUGCUCCACAACCCCGCAGCACCUCCACCCGUGCCAUCGCGCUCCCACCACAUCACCAUCACCACCAGCACCACCGCGCGCCACCACUCUCCUCCCCCUACACCAUCCAUCCAUCGCAGCCGCGCCACCGCGCCAUCACCAGCAUCCACCAUCAUCGAUCCAUCUCCACCUUCACUGCGCCAUCCCUCCACCAUCUCCAGCCACCGCCGUACCUCGCGCGCCCAACCAGACAAAGGGGAGCAUAGGCGUCUGGUCAUCCGCGUGAGGGCGCCCCCGUUUUGCUGCUCUACUUCUCCUAACACAUGAUGUUGCUCUUCUCUCCACGCCCCCACUGCUUCUUCUUUUUCCCCUUAACCUCCUACUGCUGUCUCCUCGUCUUCCUCCCUGAACCAUAACUGCUGCUGCUCCCUUCUCCUCACGCCUCUGCUACAGGCUGCUUCUCCUUAUCUGAACCAACUGCUGGCUGCUAUUACUUCUCCCCAAAACUGUCGCUGCUCCUCUUUCUUGCUGCUCCUUUUCUCAAAUGCCCCUGCUGCUCCUAAUCUGAACCAUAAACUGCUGCUAUCUCUCUUUUAUCCUCUCUAUAUUCUCUGAAUUUCUAUAAGCUGAGAUGUGCAAUGCCUUGUAAUGUUCAGAUUUGGGUUGUGCUUGAAACUUGGUCAGUUUCAGAUUUGUGCUUGAUUAGUAGUACUUAUUUUGUUCAUCUGAGAGUAUUAGAACAGUAUCCUGUAGUAUCAUAUUCGUAUUUGUGUUUGUGUGUGUUCAUCUAAUUUGUUCUAGUUUAUAGUCCAUGUGUUUACUCUAGUACGAGUGUUAUAUAAAUAUGUGUGUGUGUGUGUGUGUGUGUGAGUGAGGGAUUGUUGUGUGAUGAUGACACUUGUUCAGUCCAAAGGCAUGUGUGUUUCUUACUUAUUUUGUUGACCAGUGACAGUUUGUACUGUUACAUUGUGUCCCUCAUUUCGAAUGUAUGAGAUCUAGCUAUAUAUGUCAUAUAUAUUAUGUACUUGCUGAUGAUUAGUGUCCAGUUUAUUGUUCUUGUGAUAUAUACACAUAUGUGUGUGUUAUGUUCAUGUCCUUUUUACUUCUCUUGUCAUUGAUGUUAGCUUGUGUUAGUAUCUUAAUUUCUCAAGUAUUACAAAAAUACCAAAAAGAAAGUUAGUAAAAUCUGUAUCUACCUUUGCUUGUCCGCAUUUUCAUUGGCGACAAUCUUGAUAGUUUAGGUUUAUUUUCUGUUCCCUUCAUCUGAAUUGUAUUACCAUGCUUUAGCCGAAUAUAGUUGCCAUCGCCUAGUCCCUGAGGAGAACACGACACUCGUAGUUUGGGGCGUAAAAACCCCGCUAUAUUACAAUCGAUCAUUUUGGCGCCAUUGCCGGGGACUAGCGUCGAGCGAUUGUGUUACACUAUAGACUAGGUUUUUCUUGUUUUCCUUUUGUGACAUUUAUAUGUGAUAUAUAUCUAACCCCUAACCACUGUUCUAGUUAUUUUCUGUUCCUUUUCUUGUUUGUUUUGUAGGUUGGAUUGUCUUCAUGGAAAUGGCAUUCAACUCAGACCAUCAUGCUUAUGUGAGCAAUAGCACGGAAAGUGUUCAAGACUUGAUAAGUAAGAUUUCCUAUCAGUUAGAUGAUUUAGCUCGGCAGCGAGGUGUAGUUUUUGAGGAUAUGCCUAGCUAUUAUGAUGCUUAUUCUAGAGGCCAUCCUUAUGUUGCUCCUACAUGCCAUAUUUGUGGAUUUCAGGGCCAUUCACCUGCUGAAUGUCAGCGUGGUUACUCUCAUCCUCCGGAUUGUUUUGGUAUGAACUUUGCUCAACAGCAUGGCUCAUGCCAAAAAAAUUACUCAUAUGGGUGGCCUGGAAACCAUAAUAUGUCAUAUAGGAACAACAACCCUGAGAUCUCAUCGUUUGCCUCUAGUUAUCCAAUGCAGGGAUUUAGGUAUGAAGAGGAGAGCCACAACUAUGCUCCACAACAGUCUUAUUCAGCUCCUAUUCAUAUACCUAAGCACCAGGAGAUGUUGCCAAUGAAGUUAAAUGGUCCUCCAUUUGGUCAACCAACACCUUCAACACAAGUGCCUACUCAAGAUGAGUUCGAUGACAUAGACAAGCUCGCACUUUUGAGUCUUGAGUUCACUUGGAGUGCCGAGGAUGAUCCUAUUAGGAAGGUUAUACUAGAUGAAAUGAAGAAGAUCAAGAGUGGGAAUGAGCUAGUGGAAGAAGUAAAGAAGAUUGAGAAGAACAUCAACGCUGGCAGUACUAUUUCUUCACAGCUUGAGCUGAGUAAUUCUGGGAUUCCCCUUGAUACAUGUGAGGUUCCAAUACCGUCACAUCCAGCUGAGAAAGAUAGCAAGUGCCUUGAGGAAGAGAUACCUCAGAUUGAAGAUGUACUCGUAGCCAAGGCACAAGAUGAUCCAGAGCUCAAAUGCCCAAGUGAUCAAGUUGAAGAUCCAAUGUCUAUCCCUCCUGAAGAAGUAAAAGAAGCUGCUGUAGAUGAAGAUGAAGAACAUGAGAUUCAUUUGCCUAUUGUCAUACCAGAGCGUGAUGUGUCAGGUUUACCCAAUCCUCUCGAUGACAUGCGUCCUUAUGAUUCCUUUGCUUCUACCUUGCAUUGCAUGAUGCCAUCUGUUAAAGUAGAUUUGGAAAAGUAUUUUCUUGUAUAUGAUCAUAUAUACCCUGUUAGUGGCAUUACUCACAUUAAUGAUGAUCACAGUUACUUUCCUCGUGCUAGUCCUAUGCUUAAUGAAACAUAUCACUCCCAUGCUAGUAUUGAGCUUAAUGAUAAAUAUCAUCCUCAUGUUAGUGUUGACCUUGCUGAUUUCUACCAUCCUAAACAUGUGCUUUAUAGCUAUGCUUAUGUAAUUGGAUAUUCGAUUGAUGACUUGGAGGGUAUUAUCCCUACCACUUGCAUUGUCUCUUUGGUUGAGUGCUCUUUCAGGUUUUUGCUUCUGCAUCGUUCACUUCAUGCUGACCAGGUUCGAGGUGACAUACCUUGGGACCCUGGUGGACUCAGAGCAUGGGGAUGAGGAGAAGCAAGGGGCACACAUGAAGAGAGAAGCUGGAGGAGGCAUGAGGAUAUAGAAGCAAAAAGAGAAGAGCUGCAGUUCAGAGAGUGAUUGUGUGAGACCUACAUCAUAUAAGCCCGGUGGGCUGUUUCAUGACCCGAAUCUUAAUAUAUCAUCCAUUGAUACAUGCUGAAAUCAUUUGAUAUUUGGGUUGCUUGAGCCAUUUCUUAAAUGUCGUCCCACUGAAUUUUACCUUUGACAUAUGAUGCUUGAUGUGAAUAUGCGAACUGAUUGUUGAAUGCCAUGUAAACUAGUGAUCUACAUAUUGCUUGUUUUGCUGAAAUUAGUGAAAGCUAUUAGUUUUGAGUGCUCAAAUCCCUAGUACACUAGAAAACUUAAUCAUUUUCUGCUUUUACCUCGAUACACCUAGAUCACCACGUUUAGAUGCUGAAUUUGUGCCAAGUGUCUUCCCAUUGAGAGCAAUCACCUAACCACUAUGGAUUAGCAUGCUAUGUUCCCUGGAUCGGUAGCAUGUGAACCAGACAUGGAGAAGUGAUGAUUCCUGUUUUUGUUCUUAUGCAUUGUUCAUUUAAGAUAAGUAAUAAUGAAUAAAUAAGUCUGGCUACCUGCAGUAGCAUGUCAUGUUCCCGGGAUCGGUGGCAUGUGAAAUCGGGUUAGCUUGGGCAGUAAUUAAUAAUAUUAUAAAAUGUAAUUGUCGAACCAGGUGUAUACCAUGUUCUCGGGAUCGGUGGUAUGUUCCUUUGGGGAGACAAACAAACAAAAAAAACUAAUAAUUGGUCGAGCCAGGUGUAUACCAUGUUCUCGGGAUCGGUGGUAUGUUCCUUUGGUAAGACCAAUAAAAUAUUAUCAUUGCUUCCUUCAAAUUCAAUAAGUGGUUCAACCACAAUGUUCCUGGUAAUAAGUGAUCUGAUCACAAGUUCAAGUUCUUUUUAUUUAUUUUUUGGAUCAUGCUCUCUUUAGGAACCAUUUGGCGCAGUCAUCAUUUAAACUUGUUGAUCCUCUUUUAUCAUUGUAAAAGUUUAAAAUGGUCAUGCUUACUAGUAUCCUACUGCUUUGUAGCACUCUUAACCAUCAAUUUUCACUAGCUAAGUCCAAGAGCAUGCAUUGUUUAGAGAUCUACUUCACUUGGACAUUCUCUAAUCAGCUCACUAUUCACUAUCUCGCUCUUGUUAUCUGCCUUUACUUGAGGACAAGUAAAGAUUUAAGUGUGGGGGAACUUGAUAAGCACAUUUCUUAUAUACUAUUUGGGCACACAAAUUCACCAUUUAUUGAGUUAUAUCCAUCCAUUCUUGCUACGACUUGUUGAAUAUUCGAAUGAUAAUCAUAAAAGAGAAUGUUGACUAGUGAAUUGUUUAUUUUGCAGAAAAGUGCGCAAAGGCACUAUAAUCGUCAAGACUUCUACUAUGUUGCUAACGAGAAGAGAGAAGGGCAUGAAAGAAAUACGUCAAGGCUUGAGCAUGAAGGAAAGAAGUAAUGUAGGGGAGCAAACUAAAAGAAGAGGAGGAUCUUCUUGGGAAGAAAUGAAGAGAAGAGGAGGGCCAAUGUGCAAAUGUGGCAGAUCAGAGAGGGGAAUGAAAUCCCUAGCCGCACCUCAUUGCAAAUCGGUGCCUGGCAUCUCCAUCCCCUCUUUCCCCCGCCUCCUUCUUCCACCUCCGGCCGCCGCCGCGGCCAGGCCGGCGUGGCGGCGCGCCACCAAGCACCUCCACCUGCUCCACAACCCCGCAGCACCUCCACCCGUGCCAUCGCACUCCCACCACAUCACCAUCACCACUAGCACCGCCGCGCGCCAUCACUCUCCUCCCCCUACACCAUCCAUCCAUCGCAGCCGCGCCACCGCGCCAUCACCAGCAUCCACCAUCAUCGAUCCAUCUCCACCUUCACUGCGCCAUCCAUCCACCAUCUCCAGCCACCGCCGUACCUCGCGUGCCCAACCAGAAAAAGGGGAACACAAGCGUCUGGUCAUCCGCAUGAGGGCGCCCCCGUUUUGCUGCUCUACUUCUCCUAACUCAUGAUGUUGCUCUUCUCUCCACGCCCCCACUACUUCUUCUUUUUCCCCUUGACCUCCUGCUGCUGUCUCCUCGUCUUCCUCCCUGAACCAUAACUGCUGCUGCUCCCUUCUCCUCACGCCUCUGCUACAGGCUGCUGCUCGUUAUCUGAACCAACUGCUGGCUGUUAUUACUUCUCCCCAAAACUUCCGCUGCUCCUCUUUCUUGCUGCUCCUUUUCUCAAACGCCCCUGCUGCUCCUAAUCUGAACCAUAAACUGUUGCUAUCUCUCUUUUAUCCUCUCUAUAUUCUCUGAAUUUCUAUAAGCUGAGAUGUGUAAUGCCUUGUAAUGUUCAGAUUUGAGUUGUGCUUGAAAUUUGGUCAGUUUCAGAUUUGUGCUUGAUUAGUAGUACUUAUUUUGUUCAUCUGAGAGUAUUAGAAUAGUAUCCUGUAGUAUCAUAUUCGUAUUUGUGUAUGUGUGUGUUCAUCUAAUUUGUUCCAGUUUAUAGUCCAUGUGUUUACUCUAGUACGAGUGUUAUAUAAAUAUGUGUGUGUGUGAGUGAGUGAGUGAUUGUUGUGUGAUGAUGACACUUGUUCAGUCCGAAGACAUGUGUGUUUCUUACUUAUUUUGUUGACCAGUGACAGUUUGUACUGUUACAUUGUGUCCCUCAUUUCGAAUGUAUGAGAUCUAGCUAUAUAUGUCAUAUAUAUUAUGUACUUGCUGAUGAUUAGUGUCCAGUUUAUUGUUCUUGUGAUAUAUACACAUAUGUGUGUGUUAUGUUCAUGUCCUUUUUACUUCUCUUGUCAUUGAUGUUAGCUUGUGUUAGUAUCUUAAUUUCUCAAGUAUUACAAAAAUACCAAAAAGAAAGUUAGUAAAAUCUGUAUCUACCUUUGCUUGUCCGCAUUUUCAUUGGCGACAAUCUUGAUAGUUUAGGUUUAUUUUCUGUUCCCUUCAUCUGAAUUGUAUUACCAUGCUUUAGCCUAAUAUAGUUGCUGUCGCCUAGUCCCUGAGGAGAACACGACACUCUAGGGGCGUAAAAACCCUGCUAUAUUACAAUCGAUCAUCCAGCUCUACGAGCUGGGCAUCGA
rnacentral:lncRNA from 1 species